GGGGAAUCCUGAAGAAAAGGCAUUUCUCAGGUUAUCCACAAAAUUUUCAUUGGCUCCAUGAAGAUCUAGGGCAUGCAGACCAAAGCUACCUCUAAAAGUUAUCCUUUUGAUAUUCACAAGACUUGCUUUUCCAGUCUAUGUUCAGUGGAAAUGAGCUACACCAGCCCUUGUCACCUGAGGCUGCAGAAGAACACUCUGAAAUCCUGCUGUGGAAUUGGAUGAAGGCCUUAAGGAGCCUGCAGUCCAGGGCAGCAAUAGGGACCUAGCGUUACCAUGUGGCUUCUGAACAUACAGUGAGACUCUGCAUCAAGUGAUGAAUGUGACUGUGGACAUCUUUCCUAUACAAACAGAAUGUAGCCAUCUUUUCCAGAAUCAUUGGAUGAAUUAAGCAUGUGAAAGGAGGUACCACUGCAUUUCAAUCCAAAAGGAAUGAAGCAUUGUCUACUGGAGAGACAUGAACAAAAGUCUGGGGCCUUUGGCCAGAGGUAAUUUUCUGUGAAUGGAGAAUUGAUGAGGGAAGAGUGCAAGCCAGAAGAAUCGACCAUCUAAGGCAGCAGUUGAUAUGAUGUGGAUUUACUGCAGUGGCAGCAGAGGUGCUAAGGGUGCCUCCAUUUCCUCCUGCUGUGCCCAUCAAGAGCCCAUCUACCUCCACCCAUGUUCUUUUGGCUGAGACCCCCUCAUCCACUGCUCUUACCAUAUCCCAACUCAAGCUGUGCACCAGAGCCCAGAACCACUGAAGAAACACGGAAGAGGAG
ensembl:lncRNA